UUUUUUGUCCGCCAACACUUAGAAAAAAAAUUGAUUAUUCCCUCUGUUUUUUUUCCCUUCUCUCAUCUCUAAAGCUGAAUUUUUUUUUCCUUAUUUCAUUCUAUCGAUGCUCUUCCAUCAUCUUCUUUAAUCAUAAACCUUGUUCAAAAUCAAAACUUAUGAACCUAAAUUCCAUGCCAAUCGAAGACACUAAGCUGAGAACCAAACCCUAAUAGUGCCUUCCUCUGUCGCUCUUCACCACCAUGGCUUGAAGAGAUAAGGUUGCAGAGGAUGUCAGUUAUUGAUAAAUGCUUAUGAAUUUCAAAGUUCUCGACGCCGUCUAGGUUUGUUGUCAGGGACGCUCUGCCAGUCUAUAGAAGUUGAAGAAGAAGACGAACAAGCUGUUCAGCUACGCUCUACCAGUUACUAUCACCACCAAAACUAGAUCUUCUUCUAGCUUUUCUCAAGGUGAAAACAAAGAGGGAUGAGUUUCCUUGGCCUUUUCAUCGGUUCUGCAGGUGUAUGUAUGGAGCAAAACAUAAUCCUUACAUUCACAUGAGUUUCCUUGGCCUUUUCACUUUUACAGCAUCUUAUUUACCAUGGGUACUACUUGGAUUCUCUGUCUUACUUACAUCAACUGCAAAGGACAUAAACAUGUUCUUUAAGGCUGUGUGUGGAGAGGUGUGUACAUAAAGUAGCUAACUUUGAUGAGUUUACAGGUCACUGGAACGGAUAUAAAACUCAUCGUUGAGUUUCUCAGGUUGUCUUUUGCUUUGAGUUCAUGUUUCAUAUCAAGAGCAAGAUAACCAAAAUGGGAUCGAAUUGCAGGCUGAUGAGAUUUCAAGGAUAUGUUUUUGCUCUCUUUUGUUGUUUGAAAAUGUAAGCUCUUUAUCUUAACAACAGGUGAUGCCUUGAUCUAUCUUAAAGCUGUCAAGGAUAUGUUGCAGGCUGAUAAGAUGACAAGGAUAUGUCUUAGAUGUGAAGUCUUAAUAUAACUGUUAUCUUGAUCCAUGGAUAUAUUCAACGUUACAGCUAUGCAUAGUCCAUGUUUCUCUCUGUUUGGCUUUUCUUGUUCGAUUCCUUAAGGUCUUUUUGUUGUUUUAAUUAUUUAUUGUAAAUUCUUUUUGAUUUCUUGACUUCAGAGUCUAUUUUUUUGUUGUUGUUAGCUUGAGCCUUCAAUGCCAUUUACUCCCUCGGUGAUGGAAGUGGCCAGAUCUUGUCUUUAUGGAUACAAUGGAACUACACCAGAGAAGCGUGUAGAUCAACAAGUGAACCCUGUGUCAUUGGUACCUUCCCUUGAGGCGGAGCUAGAGGAAGCACACACUCACAUUUUCGAGAAUGAGAAGCGGACUCACAGGAAGAAGCUUGAGCAGUUCUUGAGGAAAGUCAGUGAGGACAGGAGAUAGCUGCUUGGUGGAGCAGAGAGCACGAGAAGGUCCGAGCAAUCAUUGACGACAUGAAAUCUCGGCGACUGCAGCUGAAGAGAAAUUAUAAGGUAACCAAGAAGGAUGAUCCAAAGGUGACAGUUUUGAUGCAACAUGCUGAGGUUCUCAGUUAAUUGGCUCAGAAAAAUUAUACAGACAACACAGAACAAAACAUGGAGGAGCUGAUGGAGACUAUUGGCAAAGUGGUUUUGCAAGUUUUGAAAUUAUGUAGUGGGUUGAGUUUUAGACGUGGAAUGUAUAUCUUGGAUAAGUUAUGCUUUAAAUAAUUAUGUAUUUUUGGAUAAUUUAUGGAAUAUAAGAGUUAUAUAUAAAAUUUUAA